rnacentral:lncRNA from 1 species
GAGCACUUAUAAUUCUCAUAUUUCUUUUGUUGUACACCCUUCUUGCACCAAUCAAUAAGUAAUUGAAGUAUAGAAUUUGGAAAUAGUGAAAUAUUUGUCUCACACAAAAUGCAUAUUAUUGUAACUGAUGGCUUCUCCGGUUCUCCGCGUUUCUAUAUUUUUUUUGUGUUAAUCCUUCGGUUCUUAGUGGAAAGGGCUCUAGUAUUUUAUAGUUCAUGUAAAUAAAAUAUGUCUAAGGUCGAGGGAGUAGUUGAUACUUGAUAGUAGAGUACUAGAUAAGUCGGUUGAUUAAUUUGAAAUGUUUGAUUAAUUUAAUGUUUGUACUAAUUGAUAAAUAUAAUAUGACAAAAAAAUAUUGUAAUUUUUUCAAUUAAAAUAGUGAAUGUAAAAUUGAUACAAAUAAAAGGAUACUCUCUUUU